rnacentral:tRNA from 1 species
CGGGUGGUCGUGAAGCGGGGCGUCCCCGGCCACUGGCCGGGUGAUGAUCUCCGGCAGCGGUCGGGUCAUUCCGACUUACCCAA